rnacentral:rRNA from 1 species
UUAAGCGACUAAGCGUACACGGUGGAUGCCCUGGCAGUCAGAGGCGAUGAAGGACGUGCUAAUCUGCGAUAAGCGUCGGUAAGGUGAUAUGAACCGUUAUAACCGGCGAUUUCCGAAUGGGGAAACCCAGUGUGAUUCGUAACACUAUCAUUAACUGAAUCCAUAGGUUAAUGAGGCGAACCGGGGGAACUGAAACAUCUAAGUACCCCGAGGAAAAGAAAUCAACCGAGAUUCCCCCAGUAGCGGCGAGCGAACGGGGAGCAGCCCAGAGCCUGAAUCAGUGUGUGUGUUAGUGGAAGCGUCUGGAAAGGCGCGCGAUACAGGGUGACAGCCCCGUACACAAAAAUGCACAUACUGUGAGCUCGAUGAGUAGGGCGGGACACGUGGUAUCCUGUCUGAAUAUGGGGGGACCAUCCUCCAAGGCUAAAUACUCCUGACUGACCGAUAGUGAACCAGUACCGUGAGGGAAAGGCGAAAAGAACCCCGGCGAGGGGAGUGAAAAAGAACCUGAAACCGUGUACGUACAAGCAGUGGGAGCACAGAGCAAUCUGUGUGACUGCGUACCUUUUGUAUAAUGGGUCAGCGACUUAUAUUCUGUAGCAAGGUUAACCGAAUAGGGGAGCCGAAGGGAAACCGAGUCUUAACUGGGCGUUAAGUUGCAGGGUAUAGACCCGAAACCCGGUGAUCUAGCCAUGGGCAGGUUGAAGGUUGGGUAACACUAACUGGAGGACCGAACCGACUAAUGUUGAAAAAUUAGCGGAUGACUUGUGGCUGGGGGUGAAAGGCCAAUCAAACCGGGAGAUAGCUGGUUCUCCCCGAAAGCUAUUUAGGUAGCGCCUCGUGAAUUCAUCUCCGGGGGUAGAGCACUGUUUCGGCAAGGGGGUCAUCCCGACUUACCAACCCGAUGCAAACUGCGAAUACCGGAGAAUGUUAUCACGGGAGACACACGGCGGGUGCUAACGUCCGUCGUGAAGAGGGAAACAACCCAGACCGCCAGCUAAGGUCCCAAAGUCAUGGUUAAGUGGGAAACGAUGUGGGAAGGCCCAGACAGCCAGGAUGUUGGCUUAGAAGCAGCCAUCAUUUAAAGAAAGCGUAAUAGCUCACUGGUCGAGUCGGCCUGCGCGGAAGAUGUAACGGGGCUAAACCAUGCACCGAAGCUGCGGCAGCGACGCUUAUGCGUUGUUGGGUAGGGGAGCGUUCUGUAAGCCUGUGAAGGUGUACUGUGAGGUAUGCUGGAGGUAUCAGAAGUGCGAAUGCUGACAUAAGUAACGAUAAAGCGGGUGAAAAGCCCGCUCGCCGGAAGACCAAGGGUUCCUGUCCAACGUUAAUCGGGGCAGGGUGAGUCGACCCCUAAGGCGAGGCCGAAAGGCGUAGUCGAUGGGAAACAGGUUAAUAUUCCUGUACUUGGUGUUACUGCGAAGGGGGGACGGAGAAGGCUAUGUUGGCCGGGCGACGGUUGUCCCGGUUUAAGCGUGUAGGCUGGUUUUCCAGGCAAAUCCGGAAAAUCAAGGCUGAGGCGUGAUGACGAGGCACUACGGUGCUGAAGCAACAAAUGCCCUGCUUCCAGGAAAAGCCUCUAAGCAUCAGGUAACAUCAAAUCGUACCCCAAACCGACACAGGUGGUCAGGUAGAGAAUACCAAGGCGCUUGAGAGAACUCGGGUGAAGGAACUAGGCAAAAUGGUGCCGUAACUUCGGGAGAAGGCACGCUGAUAUGUAGGUGAAGUCCCUCGCGGAUGGAGCUGAAAUCAGUCGAAGAUACCAGCUGGCUGCAACUGUUUAUUAAAAACACAGCACUGUGCAAACACGAAAGUGGACGUAUACGGUGUGACGCCUGCCCGGUGCCGGAAGGUUAAUUGAUGGGGUCAGCGCAAGCGAAGCUCUUGAUCGAAGCCCCGGUAAACGGCGGCCGUAACUAUAACGGUCCUAAGGUAGCGAAAUUCCUUGUCGGGUAAGUUCCGACCUGCACGAAUGGCGUAAUGAUGGCCAGGCUGUCUCCACCCGAGACUCAGUGAAAUUGAACUCGCUGUGAAGAUGCAGUGUACCCGCGGCAAGACGGAAAGACCCCGUGAACCUUUACUAUAGCUUGACACUGAACAUUGAGCCUUGAUGUGUAGGAUAGGUGGGAGGCUUUG